rnacentral:rRNA from 1 species
UACGUAGGGCGCGAGUGUUGUCCGGAAUUAUUGGGCGUAAAGAGCUCGUAGGCGGCUUGUCACGUCGGGUGUGAAAGACCGGGGCUUAACUCCGGUUCUGCAUUCGAUACGGGCUAGCUAGAGUGUGGUAGGGGAGAUCGGAAUUCCUGGUGUAGCGGUGAAAUGCGCAGAUAUCAGGAGGAACACCGGUGGCGAAGGCGGAUCUCUGGGCCAUUACUGACGCUGAGGAGCGAAAGCGUGGGGAGCGAACAGG